rnacentral:rRNA from 1 species
UCCGGUUGAUCCUGCCGGAGGCCACUGCUAUUAGGAUCCGACUUAGCCAUGUGAGGCGCUCGAAAUUAGAUUCGAGCCGGACUGCUCAGUAACACGUAGUUAACUUGCCCUUAGGUGGAGAAUAAUCCCGGGAAACUGGGGCUAAUACUCCAUAGGAAAUGAGUUUUGGAAUAUCUCGUUUCUGAAAGUUCCGGCGCCUAAGGAUAGGACUGCGGUGGAUUAGGUUGUUGGUGAGGUAAAGUCUCACCGAGCCUAUAAUCCAUUCGGGCAUUGAGAGAUGGAGCCCGGAGACGUGCUCUGAGACACGAGCACGGGCCCUAUGGGGCGCAGCAGGCGCGAAACCUUUACACCGCGUGAAAGCGUGAUAAGGGGAUCCUGAGUGCCCUCUCACUGAGGGGGCUUUUCUGGAGUGUAAAUAUUUCCAGGAAUAAGCAGCGGGUAAGACGGGUGCCAGCCGCCGCGGUAAUACCCGCGCUGCAAGUGGUGGCCACUAUUAUUGGGCCUAAAGCGUCCGUAGCCGGCCAGAAGGGUCCUUGGUGAAAUCCUAUGUAAAGCAUGGGGCUUGCCAAGGAAACUAUUUGGCUAGGGACCGGGAGAAGUCGGAGGUACUCUUGGGGUAGGGGUAAAAUCCUAUCAUCCUGAGAGGACCACCUGUGGCGAAAGCGUCCGAAUAGAACGGCUCCGACGGUGAGGGACGAAAGCCAGGGGCACGAACCGGAUUAGAUACCCGGGUAGUCCUGGCCGUAAACGAUGCCCGCUCGGUGCUGGUCGUGGUACGUCCGCGAUCGGUGCCCUAGUGAAGACGUGAAGCGGGCCGCCUGGGAAGUACGUCCGCAAGGAUGAAACUUAAAGGAAUUGGCGGGGGAGCACCACAACGGGAGGAGCCUGCGGUCUAAUUGGAUUCAACCCCGGAAAUCUAACCGGGGCUGACAGCUGAAUGAUUGUCACCCUGAAGGGGUUACUUGACUCGCUGAGAGGAGGUGCAUGGCCGCCGUCAGCUCGUACCGUGAGGCGUCCUGUUAAGUCAGGCAACGAGCGAGACCCACGUCCUCAGUUGCCAGCAGCAUCUUUUGAUGGCUGGGUACACUGAGGAGACUGCUCAUGCUAAACGAGAGGAAGGUGUGGGCGACGGUAGGUCAGUAUGCCCCGAAUGUCCCGGGCUACACGCGGGCUACAAUGGCUUGGACAAAGGGCACCGACGUCGAAAGACGGAGGCAAUCCCUAAACCAAGUCGUAGUUCGGAUCGAGGACUGCAACUCGUCCUCGUGAAGCUGGAUUCCGUAGUAAUCGCGCCUCAAAAUGGCGCGGUGAAUACGUCCCUGCUCCUUGCACACACCGCCCGUCAAACCACCCGAGUAGUGCCUGGGUGAAGCCCUUCUUGGUUGGGUAAACCUGAGUUCUGCAAGGGGGGUUAAGUCGUAACAAGGUAACCGU